rnacentral:rRNA from 1 species
UGGGGAAUAUUGCACAAUGGGCGCAAGCCUGAUGCAGCCAUGCCGCGUGUAUGAAGAAGGCCUUCGGGUUGUAAAGUACUUUCAGCGAGGAGGAAGAUGUUGUGGUUAAUAACCACAGCAAUUGACGUUACUCGCAGAAGAAGCACCGGCAAACUCCGUGCCAGCAGCCGCGGUAAUACGGAGGGUGCAAGCGUUAAUCGGAAUUACUGGGCGUAAAGCGCACGCAGGCGGUCUGUUAAGUCAGAUGUGAAAUCCCCGGGCUCAACCUGGGAACUGCAUUUGAAACUGGCAGGCUUGAGUCUUGUAGAGGGGGGUAGAAUUCCAGGUGUAGCGGUGAAAUGCGUUAGAGAUCUGGAGGAAUACCGGUGGCGAAGGCGGCCCCCUGGACAAAGACUGACGCUCAGGUGCGAAAAGCGUGGGGAGCAAACA